rnacentral:rRNA from 1 species
CCUACGGGUGGCAGCAGUGAGGAAUAUUGGUCAAUGGACGCAAGUCUGAACCAGCCAAGCCGCGUGCAGGAUGACGGCUCUAUGAGUUGUAAACCUCUUUUGUACGGGGGCAAACCCCGAUACGUGUAUCGGGUUGAAAGUAUCGGACGAAUAAGGAUCGGCUAACUCCGUGCCAGCAGCCGCGGUAAUACGGAGGAUCCGAGCGUUAUCCGGAUUUAUUGGGUUUAAAGGGUGCGCAGGCGGUUUGAUAAGUUAGAGGUGAAAUGUCGGGGCUCAACCCCGAAACUGCCUUUGAUACUGGUGGACUAGAGUAUAGUUGAGGUAGGCGGAAUGUAUGGUGUAGCGGUGAAAUGCUUAGAGAUCGUACAGAACACCGAUUGCGAAGGCAGCUUACCAGCCUAUAUCUGACGUUGAGGCACGAAAGCGUGGGUAGCGAACAGGAUUAGAUACCCCUGUAGUC